rnacentral:lncRNA from 1 species
CAGAGACCCUAUCAAGGCAAGGAGAUGGGGUGCCCUGAGGUCGCGGAGUGGGGAGCCCGAGGGAAGGCGAGCGGCAGGCGGAGAUGAUCAGGCAGAGCGGCGGACAGCCCCCAAGGCCAGGUUUUUUUUCGGCCGCCGUUUGAAAAUGAGUUGGGCGCCGCUGCCCCCGCCGCAGCCUGGGAGCUGUUCUCGGUGAGCGGUCGCACCGGCUUUGUCCUCAGCCGAGAGUGAUGCUGCCGGGCCGGCGCGGGUGCGCCGCGCGGUUGGGGCGCCUGAAGCGGGGAUAAUUGGCGGCGAGGCGCCGGCCCCAGCAUGUCGCUGCCUCUGGAGAAAGCCUCUGAGCUGAAGCAGCUCAUCCACCAGCCGCUGAGCAGGUGCAGCAGCUGAGCGCUGGCCUGGGGUCCUUGGGCGCGGCCGACUAUGGCGCCUGUUUGCCGGGGUCUUGAGCAAAAGCUGUGAGCAGCCCACACAGGAUGGGCAAAGCUUCGGGUUUGAAGCCAGAGGAACUUUAGUCUCCAUGAAAGAGCAAGCGCAGAACGUGCUAGUAAGAGUCUGAGAUUUCUGGCUUCUCCGGGAAUUUACAUCUUGGACCUCCAUGGGGCAUCAAUCUGCUGGAGCUGAGUGGCCAUUUUCCCCUUCCGUUUCCCCAGUCUCCGUGGCUCCUUAUUGUCUAACACCUACUUUACUCACUUAGAUGACCUGCCUAACCCAGGAAGGAGCCGAGGAGUGGAAGACGACAUUGAGCAGCACCCAACAGGAGAUGACCGUGAUGGUGGACUCAAUGGACAAGAGUUAUGUCGAGCAAGGUGCAAACUGUGGCUAGACGUUCUGGUUCAUGGACACGCACAAUCUGAACGGGAGAGAUGACCACACGAUGGCCACUGAGAUGAGCACUUUGGUGCAUUCCCACACUUAGAAGAAUCACGAGCCGGCUGACGUGCGCUGACAGACUGGGAAGAUUCACCCCGCUAUCCAGGUGGUAGACCAGCGUCAACAUCACACAGAUGAAGUGUGUAGAGGGCUGCGGCUUAAAGGAGGGAUAUGAAGUGACCAUGAGCUUCGGGCCAGGGCUCCUUCUCAGCCCUCCGGGGCCUGAUGCCAGGGACUGUGCUCCCAGCUUAUUCAGCCAGCAGUGGGACCGCAUGAAGGCUGGCAGGAAAGGACCAGACAUUUCAUCCAUGGAUCCAUUUCCUUCCGGCUGUAAGACUUAUUACCUGGAAGCUAAACAAUCAAGUGACAUUGCUUUUGGUCCAUAUCAUCUGAGAAUGACAUAUAGCAGCCAUCUGUUAUAGGCAUGAGGGUGUGAGAGAUAUCAAGAAGAGGCAAUAAUCAGGGGUUUUUUUGCGUGUGGUGGCCAGUUUUUUUUCUCAUUGAGAUUUUAAAAUAGCUCAAGAGAAGUGCUUGUUUCAAAUAGAAGAUAACUUAAAAAGGAUUGGAAGCCAAGAUGCUGAUGUGGAGG